rnacentral:rRNA from 1 species
CCGCACAGCGGUGGAGUAUGUGGUUUAAUUCGAAGCAACGCGAAGAACCUUACCAGGCCUUGACAUCCCUUGCAGAGGUAUAGAGAUAUAUCCGAGGUUAUCAAGGAGACAGGUGGUGCAUGGUUGUCGUCAGCUCGUGUCGUGAGAUGUUGGGUUAAGUCCCGCAACGAGCGCAACCCUUGUGAUAUGUUACUAACAUUGAGUUGAGGACUCAUAUCAGACUGCCGGUGAUAAACCGGAGGAAGGUGGGGAUGACGUCAAAUCAUCAUGCCCCUUAUGGCCUGGGCUACACACGUACUACAAUGGCGUCUACAAAGAGCGGCAAGCCUGUGAAGGCAAGCGAAUCUCAUAAAGGACGUCUCAGUUCGGAUUGAAGUCUGCAACCCGACUUCAUGAAGCUGGAAUCGCUAGUAAUCGCGAAUCAGCAUGUCGCGGUGAAUACGUUCUCGGGCCUUGUACACACCGCCCGU